rnacentral:rRNA from 1 species
UACGUAGGGUGCAAGCGUUAAUCGGAAUUACUGGGCGUAAAGCGUGCGCAGGCGGUUUGGCAAGCAAGAUGUGAAAUCCCAGAGCUUAACUUUGGAACUGCAUUUUUAACUGCCAAGCUAGAGUAUGUCAGAGGGGGGUAGAAUUCCACGUGUAGCAGUGAAAUGCGUAGAGAUGUGGAGGAAUACCGAUGGCGAAGGCAGCCCCCUGGGAUAAUACUGACGCUCAUGCACGAAAGCGUGGGGAGCAAACAGG